rnacentral:lncRNA from 1 species
UGAAUGCUUUAUGGAUUGAUUUUGAUAAACCUCAUUGUGUUGCAUGACUUCAUGAAUACAUAAUAAGCUUGUACCUUGAGAUGAGUUGUGUAAAGGUUAUUUUAUCUCAAAAUUUGAGCUUUAUGGAAAUAGAAUAUAUUGAACAUAUAUUUUCGAGUUUGACAAUUUUAUUGGACACUAUCUUCAAAUUUUAAACUCUUAAAUGGAAUGAAUAAUUAAGGGGGAGAAAGAAAAUUUUAGAGGGAG